rnacentral:SRP_RNA from 1 species
GCUGGGCGCGGUGGCUCACGCCUGUAAUCCCAGCAGUUUGGGAGGCUGAGGUGGGCGGAUCACCUGAGGUCAGGAGUUCAAGACCAGCCUGGCCAACACGGUGAAACUCCACCUCUA